CCUCAAAUCAGGUAGGACUACCCGCUGAACUUAAGCAUAUCAAUAAGCGGAGGAAAAGAAACUAACAAGGAUUCCCCUAGUAACGGCGAGUGAAGCGGGAAGAGCUCAAAUUUGAAAUCUGGUGGCCUCAGGCUAUCCGAGUUGUAAUCUAUAGAAACAUUUUCCGCGUUGGCCCAUGUACAAGUCUCUUGGAAUAGAGCGUCAUAGAGGGUGAGAAUCCCGUCCUUGACAUGGACUACCAGUGCUUUGUGAUAUGUUUUCAACGAGUCGAGUUGUUUGGGAAUGCAGCUCAAAAUGGGUGGUAAAUUCCAUCUAAAGCUAAAUAUUGGCGAGAGACCGAUAGCGAACAAGUACCGUGAGGGAAAGAUGAAAAGCACUUUGGAAAGAGAGUUAAACAGUAUGUGAAAUUGUUGAAAGGGAAACGAUUGAAGUCAGUCGUGUCUAUUGGACUCAGCCGGUUCUGCCGGUGUACUUCCUUUAGAUGGGGUCAACAUCAGUUUUGAUCGCUGGAAAAGGGCAGGAGGAAUGUAGCACUCUCGGGUGAACUUAUAGCCUUCUGUCGCAUACAGUGGUUGGGACUGAGGAACGCAGCUUGCCUUUAUGGCCGGGAUUUAUCCACGUACAAGCUUAGGA
rnacentral:rRNA from 1 species